AUUGAACGCUGGCGGCAGGCUUAACACAUGCAAGUCGAGCGAGCGGCGGACGGGUGAGUAAUGUCUGGGAAACUGCCUGAUGGAGGGGGCUAACUACUGGAAACGGUAGCUAAUACCGCAUACCAUCAGAUGUACCCAGAGGGGAUUAGCUAGUAGGUGGGGUAAUGGCUCACAUGGGCGACGAUCCCUAGCUGGUCUGAGAGGAUGACCAGCCACGCUGGAACUGAGAAACGGUCCAGCCUCCUACGGGAGGCAGCAGUGGGGAAGAUUGCACAAGGGGCGCAAGCCUGAUGCAGACAUGCCGCGUGUGUGAAGAAGGCCUUCGGGUUGUAAAGCACUUUCAGCGAGGAGGCGUUACUCGCAGAAGAAGCACCGGCUAACUCCGUGCCAGCAGCCGCGGUAAUUC
rnacentral:rRNA from 1 species